rnacentral:rRNA from 1 species
GACGAACGCUGGCGGCGUGCUUAACACAUGCAAGUCGAACGGUGAAGCGCCUUCCUUUUUGGUGGGUGUGGAUGAGUGGCGAACGGGUGAGUAACACGUGAGUAACCUGCCCCCUUCUUCUGGAUAACCGCAUGAAAGUGUGGCUAAUACGGGAUAUUCUGGGUCUGUCGCAUGAUGGGUCUGGGAAAGAUAUUGUUUCGGUGGGGGAUGGGCUCGCGGCCUAUCAGCUUGUUGGUGGGGUGAUGGCCUACCAAGGCGGUGACGGGUAGCCGGCCUGAGAGGGUGGACGGUCACACUGGGACUGAGACACGGCCCAGACUCCUAAGGGAGGCAGCAGUGGGGAAUAUGGCACAAUGGGCGCAAGCCUGAUGCAGCGACGCCGCGUGAGGGAUGGAGGCCUUCGGGUUGUGAACCUCUUUCGCCAGUGAAGCAGGCCUGCCUCGUUUGUGGGUGGGUUGACGGUAGCUGGAUAAGAAGCGCCGGCUAACUACGUG